UACGUAGGGUGCGAGCGUUAAUCGGAAUUACUGGGCGUAAAGCGUGCGCAGGCGGGCUUUUAAGCCAGACGUGAAAUCCCCGGGCUUAACCUGGGAAUGGCGUUUGGGACUGGGAGUCUGGAGUGCGGCAGAGGAGACUGGAAUUCCUGGUGUAGCAGUGAAAUGCGUAGAUAUCAGGAGGAACACCGAUGGCGAAGGCAGGUCUCUGGGCUGACACUGACGCUGAGGCGCGAAAGCUAGGGGAGCAAACGGG
rnacentral:rRNA from 1 species